GUGAUGGUUGACACACAUGACCCCUUAUCAUUAUGAGUCAAAGAGGAGCUGAAAUAGCAAAACGCUACCGGGAGCGCCGUGAUGCUGACCCUGACAGAAAAAGACAGUAUCUUGAAAAAGAGAGGGUCAGGUGGAAGAAGGACAGAGACACUGGAAAGAAAAAGGGCAUUGAUGAGCUGAGUGAGCGAGAGAAGAGGGCAAAAAGAAAGAAGUGGAGAGAGGCAAAAAAAGGCAGCCAGAGCAAAGUCCAGGGCCAGCGCUUUGCUUUUGUCGGAGACACCACCCAGUGAUCAGUCAAAAGUACAUGAACAGAAUAAAAGUUGGAGGCCAGAAGUCAUCGAGGAGAAGCACAUUGGUGAAUGGUGUGUAGUCAACUAUGACAAUGAUGGAUACCCUGGUAUCAUUCUUGAUGUAGAGGAGCACAAUGUGAAAGUGAAAUGCAUGCACAACAAAGGCAUCAACAAAUUCUGUUGGCCAAGUCCUCGUGAUGACAUCAACUGGUAUGGGGAUUGGCAGAUUCUGUGCCUCAUGUCGGAACCACAACUUGUGAACAGGCGUGCCUUCUCAGUUGAGCCAUCUGUAUGGAAGUACAUGGAGGACCAAUUACAGUAGACCUAGAUGUCCUGAUGU